rnacentral:rRNA from 1 species
UUUCUAGUGGCGGACGGGUGAGUAACGCGUGGGUAACCUGCCCUAUACAGGGGGAUAACAACCAGAAAUGGUUGCUAAUACCGCAUAAGCGCACAGGACCGCAUGGUCCGGUGUGAAAAACUCCGGUGGUAUAGGAUGGACCCGCGUUGGAUUGGCCAGUUGGCAGGGUAACGGCCUACCAAAGCGACGAUCCAUAGCCGGCCUGAGAGGGUGAACGGCCACAUUGGGACUGAGACACGGCCCAG